CCCUGAAGAAAAACCAAAAACCCAGGAAAUUACCCUCCCCCAGGUCCUGUUUAUAGAAAUGAAGAGUUUCUAUGUUUUCUAGAGCUGUUCAGAGGUGAAUUCAUUGAUAGAUUUCUGAUUCCCCUCUUUUCCUUUCCUCUGCCCGCCCUCUGGUGGAGCUAUGGGAUGGCCCAAAAUGGCAGGCUCAGAAAGGAAGAAGCAAAGGGGAGCAAUGACGGUUCUGAAUAAUCCACAAGCUGAACACUUCAUCUACAAAUUGAAACCAUGAUGUUGAUUACAAACUCACAGGAAGUUGACCUUGUCUUCUGGAAGAGAAAAAGAAAGCCAAACCCUACUAUUAUAAUUAGGAGGGGAUCACCUCCACUCUUUAGGAUGGGGAAGGAGCAAGAGGCAAGUUUGCUUUAAGGAAUCCUCCUCACCUUCACUUAAAGACUGCACAUGUAUUAGUGAAAGAGGAAGGACCAGAAGAACCUGGCAUGGGGAGUAAGGAAAAACGAAAAACAAGAGAACAGUGCUGUUUGGUUUGGGAAAGGGGAGGUAAGGUCAAAUAUCUAGCAAAAGUGGGGUAGAAAGUACUAAUUCUGAUUCUGCCACAAAGUCUGUGUGACUCCUAGAAAAUUACUUUCCCUUUCUGAACUUCAGUUUCUCCAUCGCUAAAUUGAUUUCUAAGUUCCCACUUUUAAUUUCCUUUGAUUCCGAGAUUCUAAGGUUCUUUCUAGCUCAGAGGUUUUACGUUCUAAGAUUCCUUCCAAUUGUGUCACUCUAUCAUGGGGGGUGGGGAGGGAAGGGAAGGGAAAGAGACAAUUAAUAUAUCCACCUCAACAGGUAUCUCAAAGGGCAUUUGACAACAAAAUCUUAGAGGGGGAAAGUUGUCUCCCAUGCUAUUCCCAUAAUGAAUUAUUGAAACCUAGGGUUGGAUAGUGUGUUAGUAGUUCAUAUUCUUAAACUGUGGCAGAGGGGAAAGUGGCUGGAGGUGGGGCUGGCUGUCUCUGCAGCGAAGUUGGAUCUCAGACCCCCAGACGCCAACAAGAGAACUCUUUACUAACCCUCCCCCCAGAACGCCCUUCUUUCUACCCGAGGUUCUUUGAAACAAUUCCUAUAUAAGGGGCUUUAAGGAAUGGUCGGAAGAGAAAAGAGAGAAGUUGAACUCCCUGACUGGCCGGAUUAAUGCAGUGCAUUCGGUUUGAAAAGAAUUCUUAAUCUCCAGCUGAGAGACAGUUGCCCUCCUCCAAGUAGAGGCAACUUCCGAGGAUUUGGGCCCCUCUCGAAUCCUCAGUCGCGCAAAGACUGUAAGUCCUCAGCUAAACCCGCUCAGUCCACCUACUUCCUCCCAGCUGCCCUGUCUCCGAUAUCUUGGUGGUCCCCGGAGAAGCAGUCCAGAGAGACCACUGCCCGUCCUGCACCCACGAAAUCCGUGGCCGCUGCAGUCUUCUGAGGCAGCGGUGUGUCAGCACCCAGGGUCCGUUUGAUCUCAGGGGAUCCUGGGCGCUCGCUCUCUCCGUCUCGCUCAGCCACAGAAUGCGGACAAGUACGCGGCUGCCCCAGAAGAAUCCAUAUCUGUGCUUGUUCUAGUUCGGUGAGAGCCCCUAGGAUCUCACAGGAAUUAGAAUUGGAAAGACAUCAUCCAGAACAUGGCCCUUCUUUUUGCAUACGGGGAUACUGAGGCCAGGAAAAGAAAUAGGACAUGAAAAGGUUACAAAACUAGUGAGGAGGGCUCUGGGCUUGAACCGAGGUCUUAAGAAUGCAAGUCCACGACUUUUCUAUUAUCUCACCACCACCAGCACCAGUACUACCAGAUGCGAAUGCUCCCCAUGGUGACCGGAGCUGCUCAUUUUGAGAAGCUGGUACCUGGAACACAUAGUUGGGACAGAUUGCUCGGGAUGCCUUCAGGAGCAGCAUGCAAGUUCUGGCUCGAACAGUUCUCACAAUCUGCCUCUCUCACACUGCUCUCUCCGUUGCCUGGGGCGCACCACUUUAUGCAUUUGGCAUACUUUCUCCCUUACUGGAUUCCCUAGCUAGAAAAGGAAUGUCACUGACCGGGAGUAGAGGGACUUCGAGAGGGGUCAGUAUCCACAUUUCAGAAUCUCAGAACAAGGGAACUGGAAAGAACCGUAGAAAUCACCUAGCGAAUAUCAUUUUACAGUUGUGGAAACUGAGGCCCAUAUUACAAAGUCAAUUAAUAGCAAAGCAGAAUUUGAACACCGCCUUUCUAACACUGAACCUCUCUUCCAGCAGUUCACCAGUCACAGGUGAAAGCUUCCCUAACCCCAAGUUAUUUGAAGAGAGAGAGAGAGAGAGAGAAAGAGAGAGAGAGAGAGAGAGAGAGAGAGAGAGAGAGAGAGAGAGAGAGAGAGAAACCUUGUCAUUACUUAGUGUUGGCUGUCCCCGAGCGCAGCCUCCCCGCCCCGACUGGAGUGUAACCGAGUGUAGGAAGACAAAGUUCAGACCCUAGGAGGCAGGUUGACGGGGCCCUCGACGUUGAGGAGGAGGGAGGGCACCCCGCAGAUCCCCCAGAGCAGAAGCCAAAGCAUAGGACGAGGGCAGGAGCGUCUUGGGGAGCUGGGGAGAAGAACCUGUUCGCCCCACAGACAGCUUAGGGAAAGCUGGCACUCCAGGCAAGGAGCGAGAGCAUGCCCCCAGCACCUCGGGACCGGACCCACUGAAGCAGCGACCACCGGAGAUCGGAGCCCAAAUGCUAAACCUCAGCUCAGGGGAUAAGCAUCUGCCUAGGUCUCCAGCUCUCGGCCAACAGCUACCCCUAGCGGAAAAUCGACCGUCCCGUUCCCCUCCGUGCCUCCCAGGGCGUUCCGAGGCUCAGUUAGAGAGCCUGGGUAAAUGAGGCGUGUGCUCUCCCUACUCCCUGCCCUCUCCCAACCCCGAGCUCUGCCCCUACACUGUCCUGUUGGGAGGCCACCAGCAAACCCGGCCCCAGCUGUCCAGGAUCCCCAAAUUUGGCUAUCCUUCAGACUCUAUACCCUCUCCUGCCGGCCUCCCUACGCCCGGAGCCGAAACCGACUGGAACUGCUGCUCCUUGGACCGACAGGCGGCGGGAGCUCGGGCUGCCUUGGCGAAGGUGUAGGGCGGUGUCCGAACUCGGAGCUGGACAGUAUCUGUGCUGUGGAACUGGAUGAAGGAAGAUACGUGCAUCAAUAGAGUGGAAAAGUAGGGUGCGGAAUGGGAAGCAAAAAGGUGUAGGACCGGGGGGAUUCGUUGUAGGGGAUAGAGAGCAAUGUAAUGUAUCCUUAGUUCUAGAGGUGUACAGUGCAGGAUUGUGUGGGAUAAGGGUGCAUAGUAAUGGAUUUUGUGUUCCGGGAGUGAGAUACACCGAAUGGGUGUGGUAAGAGGUGAUGGAGUUGAAGAAAAGAAUGGUGAUGGGGAAGGUGAAGGGAGCGUAUUGUUUCCGCAGCAAGACCGGAGAAAAGUGAGUCUCAGAAGCCGAUCUGUGAGUCGCUGUUCCUUGAUUUACUGGGGAUACCCGUCGGGCUGGGAAACACGUUGAGAUGUCUGGGAACUAGGUGCUUCUAGGAGCAGCAGGCGUGGGUUGGACGUGAAAAGUUAGCAAAGCUUUCUUCCACUCCCAUUCAAUCCCAUAGUAAGUCCCGCAGCAGAGGCAGAGUGUGCACGGAGAGCCAGCCUAGACGGAGAAAACCCUAACACUUCCACUGACAGCUAAAGGUGCCUAGGGUUUCACUUGGGACGCACCCGGCAGGUCCGGCCCCGAUGUUCAGGUGGGAGACACUCCAACUGUGGAUUCCACUCACUCACCCACCCACCCAGAGUAACCCAGAACUUUAGAAAGGCCGGGCGUUAGAAGAGGAUGAGGGCUUAAGUACUUCUGUCCCGUAACCAUAGGAAGACCAUCUGAAGAGCGCAGCAGAAAGAAGUCUCUAUGGUGCAGAGCAAAGAUCUCUCCUAGAAACCAAGGGCCGAAUGGUUGAAGACCUGGGUUCAAGUCUCGAUUUACCAAUUUCUCUCUCUUUAAUUUUGAGAAAAUGCUUUCUCUUUUCCUUGCCUCAGUUUCCCCCCUCUUCUAAAUAAAAUCGGUCUAGAAGGCAUCUAAGGUCCAUUCCAACUAUGAUGUUAGGUGGCCGCCUGCUGUUUCCUGGGCCCGCGCUUCCUGGCCACAGCGCUGACGCUGUGGCUACUGGACUUCCUGUGCAUCCGCAAGAAGGUGCUGCUGAGACGCCGGCACGAAGGCGAAGCUGAGGAGCCCUGGAAGGCGGGCGGGGGCGGGAGCAGGGGUGGAGGAGAGGAGGAGGAUGGGGCAGCUGUUAUCCUGUUCCCGGGGCUACCCCCUGAUGACCCGCCAAUCUGGGUCUCUGACUCCAAUCGGCUCUGCACUAUAGAGUCGCUGAAGGCUGUCUGGCACGGGCAAAAGAUGGACUUCUUCAAGACUGCCCACAAGGGCUCCCUAGCCCCCAAUCCCGAGGUCAUUCAACUGGACGGACUGAAAAGACUACGCAUCUUAGACUUCGCGCGGGGCAGCCGGCCACUGGUUCUCAACUUCGGCAGCUGCACCUGACCCCCGUUCACGGCGCGACUGCGCGCCUUCCAGCGUCUCGCCUCCACCUUCCUAGACAUCGCCGACUUCUUGCUUGUCUACAUUGAAGAAGCCCACCCAUCCGACGGCUGGGCCAGCUCAGAUGCAGCCUACGACAUCCCCAAGCACCAGUGCCUUCAGGACCGAUUGCGGGCUGCCCGGCUUUUGCAGGAGGGCGCCCCAGGAUGCUUACUUGCCGUGGACACCAUGGACAACGCGUCCAGUGCAGCGUAUGGUGCCUACUCGGAACGGCUCUAUAUCAUCCAGGAGGCUCGAGUCAUGUACCAGGGGGGACGAGGCCCCGAGGGCUACAAGAUCUCAGAACUGAGGCACUGGCUCGACCAGUACAAAGAUCGCCUGCAGAGUCCACAGGCCUCCGUGGUCUUACCUGUGUAAUUGACCGUUUCCAAAACAAAGAACCCCAAACAAACGUACAAUUGACGGUUCUUAAUCACAGAAAGUGACAGUUACACAAAAGAAGGGGGAAGGGAGAAUUAACCCAUGUGGGGGAGGGGUCCGUGGGGGGAGGAACACCUCUCUUCCCUCCUCCCCAAAUUCAAUUUUUUCUCUCCUUGUUUAUUUUUCUCCACUUUGUUGAAUGCAGUGCGAACAUUAUAUAUGUUGCGCGUGUGCAUGCGUGUGUAAACCUGUGUAACUCUGUGAGUGCCCGUUGUUUCCCGCAGAGAGAAGACACCCCCGCCACCUGGGACAACUAUACCUCUACGGGGCCAAUCCCUGCUUGCAUAGAAAAAGAAGGAAGGAAGGAAGGAAGCAAGGAAGGAAGGAAGGAAGGAAGGAAGGAAAGGAGGAAGGAAGGAAGGGAGGAAGGAAAGAAGGAAGGAAGGAGGAAGGAAAGAAGGAAGGAAGGAAGGAAGGAAGGAAGGAAG
ensembl:lncRNA